GUUUUUUUUUUUUUGGAAAAAAAAAGUAAAAAAACCAUGGUGCAAGGAAAGGAGUGAUCAAAAUAAUGGGGCAGAAGACUGAUAUACAGGACUCAAUAAAAAUGACCUGAAGCCUAGAAGAAAUAAGGGCAAGCUUUACUUCAUCUUCAUCUGGCCCCUCAUCAUCAUCAUCAUCAUCUUUGUUCUUCUUGAUGCGGGUUGUACCACCCUCCUUGCCUAUGGGUAACUUCAUUGCUCCAAAAGGUGUGUCAACAUUAAUAUGUCCUUUUAUAGCAUAAUGAAUGCUUUUGCUUCUAAUAAUGUCCCAAAUUGCAGAGCCAAAGUCCUUAGGCCUGAAGGUGAUGGGAAUGUCAAUGUAACCAAUCCCUUUUUUGUCGACUUUUGUAGAUUUGGCUAUUUCUGCACCCCCGAUGCUCUCAUCAGAUAGCCAAACCUCACAGUCCAAUCCAUUGAGGCCCAAGUCAAAAUCAUUAGUGUUUUCUAACUUCAAAUGAAGCACAGCAACAGUUUCUUCAAAGGAAAACCUUUUAAGGUUUAUUUUCUCAAGAUCAAUAUCAGGCUUGUGAGGUAUUGGAAUCUCUCCAGUUUUCUCAAGGGGCAGAGUUAGCCUUCCAAAGAUUGGAAUAUCUACAAUGAAAUCAACCUUAAUCCUGUAAGGAAUGAUACUUCCAGGCCUAAUAUCAUGAUGUGUGCUUUUUAUAUCGUCAUAAAUCAAAUUAACUGGUAUUUUGAUAGUCUCCUUGCCAUGUGCGUGAAUAGUUCCAGCAUCUGGUAUUAAGCCUGAAACAAGUUUCCGUCCAUCACUCUCAAUUAAGUAGUUGAUGUCAAUUAGAGGGAUUGGAAUAAUGGUGGGGUUCUCAACAAGCACAUCAAAAACAAGAUUGGCCUCCUUUAGAUUUAUUGACGGGAUAUGAAACCCUGUAACUUUCGCAGUUGGCAUGCCAAAACCAAUAGCUCCCUUAAUCUUUACGACAAUGUAACGAAUGAAGUCCAUUACCUUUUCAAUAAAUCCAAGUAGCACGCCAAUAAAUCCACCCUUCUUUUCAUCCUUGUGAUCUUUUUUCUUAACAUCUCUAUCCACAACUUUCGGCUUAUCAGAAGAAGCCAUUCCUAAAAUGCUAGAGCGAUGGAAGUAGAUGAAAGGGAAAGCUUGAGAGUGUAGUGUGUGAAGGGGAGAAGAGUGAGAAAAAAGUGCC
rnacentral:misc_RNA from 1 species